GAGAGAGAAUAUAAAAUAUUUUACAUAAUACAUGUCCUUCAACAAUAUUUUUUAUUUAAAUUUUUAACUUUUAUUUUUUAUUUGAUAGUUUUAUUUUUUAAACAUAGAAUCUCACGUUCUCUUCGCGCUAAUUAAUAAAUUCGCGCUACUGUUUUAAAAUUUAUUUAAACGAUUCUCAUUGGACGAACGUAUUCAUCUGUGAGUACCUGUGAGAAGCUUGCAAGAUGAGGACCAAUCAGAGAACGAUAACCAAGAACCAAUCAAUAAGCGAGAUAGAAAAAUAAGAAAGUAACUACCUUCGUUUAACGUUCUCAAUGUUUCUUUUUAUCUUACAGAAUUCGUUUUUCUCACUGUAACAAAUGUAGAUACAUAUAUAUAUAUAUGUAUAUACACACACAUAUAUUUCUUCAUAUACUUUGAAUUAAGAAUAUUUCUGUCGCACAUAGAAGAAGAACGUAUAAAAGAAAAAGAAAAGAAAAAGAAAUAAUCAUUAUAUUCAAUUCUUAAUACGGAAAAUCGAAAUAAUUUUACUUUGAAGUAAAGUCACUUUGAAGGUUAUGGCACUAGGCAAACAAAAUAAAAUAAAAAAGAAAAAAAAAGAACAACAAAAAAAAUAAGAAAGCAAAAAGAAGAGAAAUUCAAACAAUACAUUUCACUCACAUUGAUAUACUGUCGUAGAAAAAUGUCGAACUUUUAACAGUCACGUUAAGGAAUCAUUGAGAAUUAAAAGUGCGUAGAAAACUGUUCGAUCCGAAUUUCGUACCGUUGUGAGCUCUUUUUCUAUUUUCUUUUCUUUCCAUCGAAUUUCUAAGCGAAAUUAUAAGAUUGGAUAAAAGAUGUUGAAAAUUAUGAUUAAUGAUUAAAAUAAUUAUUAUUCAACAAAAUUUAAAUUGUGUUUGUCAUUUGUUUUCGCGGCAUCAAAAAUUAUCGAAACGAAGAGUAAAAGAGAGACAGAGAAAGUAAAAGAGAGAGAGAGAGAGAGAGA